GUCAGGGGGCCUAAUGGUUAGAGAGUCGGACUUGUAAUCCGAAGGUGAACCUGAAGGUCACGGGUUCGAGUCUCAAGUCCGACA